AAAGGCGUGCGCCACCACCGCCCAGCUGAUCUUGAUGGCUUUAACAGGUGUAGGGACACCCGCCCUAAGUAUGGGUGGUACCUUCUGGUAGUAGCCCGAAUGGAAGGAGUUGGGAGAGGAGAGUAGCAAAUUAAUUCAUGCACCCUGUUGCCACCGCCGCUGUCACAGCAGUGAUUGUUCGCUGCUCUUAGGAAUCAGCCUUUCGGGUUUCCAAUGUGAACUGAAGACCAGCAGUUUUCUGACACCACGCAGGCCUUCUGCCUUGCGGCGGGACUCCGGAGGUACCCAGCCUCGUGGACAGAACGACUACCAAGUUUUCAGCUUCCCUGUGAGAGACAGUCAUUAUUGGACUGCCCUGGCAGCAUCUUACACAGUUCCGGAAAGCAGCCGACCUGGGGCUUUGUCAUGCCACGUAAUUAAUGUGUGAUGGUGCUCAGCUCGGGAUGAUUUAGUGACUGGAGAAAAAGUAAGAUAUGAGGCAGAGGCUUCCACGGGGGUGCCAAGUGGAGAGUCUGGAUGGAGUUUGUGGUCUUUCUAGGGCACUGUGGGUUCAAGAGAAGUGCGUGGCUGGCUGGUUUGUGUAAUUUAUUCCAGGAACAACUCUGUGACCAGGGCCUUGCUAAGUGCCCUUCUUGAUCCUCGGUCCUCCCAGGGUGAAGCUCCAACUAAGGCUGUCUGGAUACAAAACAGACCCCUCCACCCUGGAGAUUAGGACAGAACCGGAAGAAUGUGACCAUGGCUCAUCAGAUGGCGAUGGGACAAAGGACUUGAUCCAGCUUACGUAAACCACUGCCGACCCUGAGACUAUCUAUACGCUUCUAGGUAAUGCCGUCUGGUUUUCUCCACGACUGAGUUAUCUGCCAUCAGAUGGGAUUUUCUCUCACCUUCUGGUCAAGGCUCGAUACCUUGAGUAGUGAGCACUGAGAUGCUCUCCCUCCCAGGGUAGGGUGUGCCUCUACUCUGAAGUGCCCUGGGUGAGUGAGCCAUACAGGAGGGCAGCGGUAUUGUCUCGUAAAAAUCCCAAGGUCUGCUCCUCUCUGCCCACGGUGUUUUCUCAGCGUGACUUUCUCCAGCAGCCUCCAGUUCUAAAAAUAAAGCUUAAAAUGCGUGGAACGGUAGCCACAUCUUACCAAAAG